AUACGUAGGGUGCAAGCGUUGUCCGGAAUUAUUGGGCGUAAAGAGCUCGUAGGCGGUCUGUCGCGUCGGAUGUGAAAAUCCAGGGCUCAACCCUGGGCCUGCAUUCGAUACGGGCAGACUAGAGUUCGGUAGGGGAGACUGGAAUUCCUGGUGUAGCGGUGAAAUGCGCAGAUAUCAGGAGGAACACCGGUGGCGAAGGCGGGUCUCUGGGCCGAAACUGACGCUGAGGAGCGAAAGCGUGGGGAGCGAACAG
rnacentral:rRNA from 1 species